GACGAACGCUGGCGGCGUGCUUAACACAUGCAAGUCGAACGGAAAGGCCCUGCUUUUGUGGGGUGCUCGAGUGGCGAACGGGUGUGUAACACGUGAGUAACCUGCCCUUGACUUUGGGAUAACUUCAGGAAACUGGGGCUAAUACCGGAUAGGAGCUCCUGCUGCAUGGUGGGGGUUGGAAAGUUUCGGCGGUUGGGGAUGGACUCGCGGCUUAUCAGCUUGUUGGUGGGGUAGUGGCUUACCAAGGCUUUGACGGGUGGCCGGCCUGAGAGGGUGACCGGCCACAUGGGGACUGGGAUACGGCCCAGACUCCUACGGGAGGCAGCGGUGGGGAAUAUUGCACAAUGGGCGGAAGCCUGAUGCAGCAACGCCGCGUGCGGGAUGCCGGCCUUCGGGUUGUAAACCGCUUUCGCCUGUGACGAAGCGUGAGUGACGGUAAUGGGUAAAGAAGCACCGGCUAACUACGUG
rnacentral:rRNA from 1 species